GACGAACGCUGGCGGCGUGCUUAACACAUGCAAGUCGAACGGAAAGGCCCCCUUGUGGGGUACUCGAGUGGCGAACGGGUGAGUAACACGUGAGUAACCUACCCUUGACUUUGGGAUAACUUCAGGAAACUGGGGCUAAUACCGGAUAGGAGCUCCUGCUGCAUGGUGGGGGUUGGAAAGUUUCGGCGGUUGGGGAUGGACUGGCGGCUUAUCAGCUUGUUGGUGGGGUAGUGGCUCACCAAGGCCUUGACGGGUAGCCGGCCUGAGAGGGUGACCGGCCACAUUGGGACUGAGAUACGGCCCAGACUCCUACGGGAGGCAGCAGUGGGGAAUAUUGCACAAUGGGCGGAAGCCUGAUGCAGCAACGCCGCGUGCGGGAUGACGGCCUUCGGGUUGUAAACCGCUUUCGCCUGUGACGAAGCGUGAGUGACGGUAAUGGGUAAAGAAGCACCGGCUAACUACGUG
rnacentral:rRNA from 1 species